GUGCUGAGAGCGUGAUCCCCUGCACCUGUGGUCCUGUGAGGCACACAUGUCCCUUGUCCUUGAUUCAUAUUUAAGUUGCAUGGACGUCUUUAGGGCCAGUCUGUCCCCUUGGCUCAGUCCUGGUGGCUCCCGCACAGCAUUAAUCUCCGAAUCUUCUCAUCCUAAGAGGCGAUGAGGUCGUGGUGGCUUGCGGCGGUGGUGGUGGUCGUGCUGUGCCCCGCAGUGACGACCCCUGCUCCUUGCACCUCAGGGGACGCAGACUACGACUAUGACGAAGUGUUGCGUAAAUCCCUGCUGUUCUACGAGGCCCAGCGCUCCGGGUUCCUUCCCAACUCGCAGAGAGUGACAUGGCGGCGAGACUCUGCCACAGACGACGCCAUUGACCCUGACACGAACCAGCGAGUUGACCUGGAGGGAGGCUACUAUGACGCCGGUGAUUACGUCAAGUUCGGUUAUCCGAUGGCGGGAGCGAUAACCGUGCUAGCCUGGGGCGCUGUGGAGUACGGCGAGGCUUACAAGGCAGCAGGUGAGCUGGCGAACGUGCGCGCCGCCGUGAAGUGGGCAACAGACUACUUUUUAAAGGCCCAUGUUGCGCCUAGUGUCUUCUAUGGUCAGGUGGGGAUUGGAGAUCUGGACCACGCAUACUGGGGUCGUCCUGAAGACAUGGACAUGUACAGACCCGCCUAUAAGAUCACGGAGAGCAAGCCUGGCUCAGACCUGGCCGGGGAGACAGCCGCUGCCCUCGCUGCCGCUUCCAUCCUCUUCAAGGACUCGGAUUCCGCCUACAGUGAUGACUGUCUCCUGCACGCACGGCAGCUGUAUAGUUUUGCCGAUAACUUUCGGGGAAAAUACUCCGAUUCUAUUCCCGAUGCUGCCAAUUUCUAUUACAGCUGGGGAGUUUAUGACGAUGAGCUGGCCUGGGCAGCGCUAUGGCUGUACCGAGCCACUGGCGAGGAGACAUUCCUCACACAGGCAAAGGCUCACUACUCGAAUAUCUACACCAGCGGUGUGCAAGAGUUUUCUUGGGCUGAAAAGACUCCCGGAGCCAUGGUGUUGCUGGCACAGCUGACGGACGCACCCGAGAAACAGACUUACCUUCAGGAUCUUGAGGGUUUUUGCGACAGAAUCAUCAAUGAAAAGCCGAGAACUCCCAAAGGUCUGGUUUACCUUAGCCAGUGGGGUUCCUUGAGGUAUGCAGCCAACGUGGCUUUCGUGUGCUUGAGAGCAGCGGACUUAGGAAUCAAGAGCGAAACGUAUCGGACAUUUGGCAAACAGCAGAUUCACUACAUGCUGGGCUCCACGGGCCGCAGUUUCGUCGUGGGCUUUGGCAACAAUCCUCCGCAGCGGCCACACCACGCCAGCAGCUCUUGCAAAGACCCGCCAGCGUCUUGUACUUGGGAUGAUUUCAACAGUCCUGCCCCAAACCCGCACAUACUCUAUGGCGCCCUGGUCGGCGGUCCCGGCCAAGAUGACAGCUAUGCUGACGUGAGAAGCGACUACAUCAAGAAUGAAGUAACCUGUGAUUACAACGCUGGAUUCCAGUCAGCUGUGGCUGCUCUGCGGCAACUUGCAGGAUGCGGCGGCAGCACGGCGACCACAGCUGCCCCAGACACCACCACUACACCGGUGACGACACGACCUCCCGGCACCACGCAGUCUCCCGUCACGACCAAGGCUCCCACGACGCCUGGUCCUCAGCCUACCACGGAUGGCGGAGGCUCCUCCAGCUGUGACAUCAAUGACAUGGUGCAACAAACAAACGAGUGGUCAGGAAACUUCCAGGCGAAUCUGGUGGUGAAGAUUCCUGUCAAUAGUCAGUCGUGGUCCAUCACACUCACCUUCUCCAGUACUGUGACUCAGUUCCAGGUGUGGACGGCCGAUGCCUCCGCCACACCCAGUAGCACCAUCACACUCACCAACAAGUCGUACAACGGCAUGCAGACAGCCGGGAACACGCUCACCAUCAACUUCAUCGCCAGCUAUAGUGGCGCGAAACCUGAGGUUACUUCCAUCACCUUCAAUGGCACUCCGCUCUGCAGCACGGGAAUCACUGCUGCCCCAGACACCACCACUACAUCAACAACAACAACGCACUCUCCUGUCACGACGUCUGGUCCUCAGCCCACCACGGAUGGCGGAGGCUCCUCCAGCUGUGACAUCAAUGACAUGGUGCAGCAGACAAACGAGUGGUCAGGAAACUUCCAAGCGAAUUUGGUGGUGAAGAUUCCUGUCAAUAGUCAGUCGUGGUCCAUCACACUCACCUUCUCCAGUACCGUGACUCAGUUCCAGGUGUGGGUGGCCGAUGCCUCCGCCACGCCCAGCAGCACCAUCACACUCACCAACAAGUCGUACAACGGCGUGCAGACAGCCGGGAACACGCUCACCAUCAACUUCAUCGCCAGCUAUAGUGGCGCGAAACCCCAGGUUACUUCCAUUACCUUCAAUGGCACUCCGCUCUGCAGCACAUCAAAAGCAAAGCAGCCUUCUACAUCCUCCAUUCCUAAAACCACCACUAACGGAGUCUCUACCGAAUGUGCCGCAGUGCAGCAGACAAACGAGUGGUCAGGAAACUUCCAGGCAAAUCUUGUUGUAAAGGUUCCUGCUGAUACGAACUCGUGGUCCAUCACACUCACCUUUUCAAGGACUGUGACAAAUUUCCAGGUGUGGGUGGCUGAUGCCUCCGCCACGCCCAGCAGCACCAUCACACUCACCAACAAAUCAUAUAACGGCUUACAAAAGGCCGGCAAUACGCUCACUAUCAACUUUAUCGCCAGCUAUAAUGGCGCAAAGCCCGAAGUUACCUCUGUCGCAUUCAAUGACGAUGUGAUUUGUCUGAAUUGAUUAUUCCUGUGUUAGAAUCAAUGGCUUCAUUUAACGAGUCCACGCUAUCUGACUCCAUGCACGAUUACUACUAAGAUGAAAGUGAUACUCGUAAGAACAUAAGAAAAUGAAGAAAGCUGCAAGACGCCGUCAGGCCUACAUACACGUGGCGGUCCCUGCAUAAACAUACUAGCUAUUUCUUCCCCAUCAUCCUCGUCUAUAAAUUAAUUUAUUAAAACUACCUCAUGAUUCGUCACUAACAUCCUGAUUACUGAGUCUAUUUCAUUCAUCGUCCUUUCUUUUUGAGAAUAUAAUCGAGGAAAACCUGACAAUGAAGGUAGUUUAGGAAUUUUUUCCUGUUGAAAUUGUUCUGUCGUUUGUUAUAGAAACAAUAAAAUAGAAGAAAAAAUCAACAUCUUUGAGUAUGCUUACGCGACGCCUGGCAGUCAGUAUACCAGAAGCGUGCAUCAGCCCGGGAGGAAGCUUUCGUUUGUUCAUAUCCUCCAAUAACAAAAAUGAUAAUAUGUAAAUAACAAUAUCUCAGGAUGCAGCCACAGUUUGCCAGAUAAAUAACGAGAAUAUUUGACAAUCUGCAUUUUAGUCAGCAGUAUCAGCCUACCACCUCACACUGAAACACUGAGCAUCUGACAGGAGAAAAUUAAUUACUUGAGACAUGACACGCGCAAGGACACACGUUCUCUUUCCGUGGGGCGUUUAGGAAAUAGGCACAGUUCCUCUUUAAGAGGAACUGAUCGAAGGAGACAUGUCAUGAUAGGUGUAUUCCUUACGUGGCGCCUCGUGGGGAGUAAUAGUACUCAGAUAAGACAGCAAAAUGUGACCCUUUUCUAUGUAGAGCGAGGUCUGGAGUGUUUCAAGUGUAGCAUACGAAAUGAACACUUGUCGUUUGGUAUUUUAAGGAGUAUCGACACCUGCACCUUCAGUCUGACGCCUCAGCUCAGACGCGGUGAUCGCCCUCCUGUAGAAUUCAAAGAUGAAAUAUUGGUGUGCGGUGGCGGUAGUGGUUGGCGUGUUGUGCCCGGCGGCGACCCUGGCGUGCGGCGGGACCUUCCUGGAGGCGAAGGGCACCAUCAGAAGCCCGAGGUACCCUUUGAGAUACCCACACAAUAAGGUGUGCGCCUAUAGAAUUCUGGCCAGCGAGGACGCGCGCAUCAAACUCUCUUGCUCCAGAAUCAAUCUCCAGCAUUCCCAGGGUUGUCUGAACGAUUCCCUUAGCAUCAACGGAAUCCACAAGUGCGGUAACUCCAGGCUCGUCAGUGAUUGAUAUUCUGAAGCUGUGGAUCGAAGCAGGGCGAGACAGCGAGGCCAGCCAUUCACCAGUCUCUGCUUGGACUCUGUGAGUGUCACGCUGAAUCCAGGUCUCGCACAUUCGUCCUCAGUUUUAGGUCGGAUGCGGUUACUGCUUUGGUCUCCAGGCUCUAGUCGGCGCCCCGCGAGCUAACGAUACCAAGUUGUCUGACUCCAAUGUGAAGGAGCGUGGCGCGGUAUACCUGUGUGAGUUACCUGCCA